AGAGUUUGAUCAUGGCUCAGAACGAACGCUGGCGGCGUGCCUAACACAUGCAAGUCGAACGCGAAAGGGGGCAACCCCGAGUAGAGUGGCGCACGGGUGAGUAACACGUGGGUAACCUACCCCAGAGAUUGGGAUAACCGGGGGAAACUCUGGCUAAUACCGGAUACGCCUCGGGCAACCUCGGUUGCCUUGGGGAAAGGAUGGCCUCUGCUUGCAAGCUAUCGCUCUUGGAUGGGCCCGCGGCCCAUUAGCUAGUUGGUGAGGUAACGGCUCACCAAGGCUGUGAUGGGUAGCUGGUCUGAGAGGAUGAUCAGCCACACUGGGACUGAAACACGGCCCAGACUCCUACGGGAGGCAGCAGUGGGGAAUUUUGCGCAAUGGGAGAAAUCCUGACGCAGCAACGCCGCGUGGGUGAUGAAGGCCCUCGGGUCGUAAAGCCCUGUCGGGUGGGAAGAAUCCCUCGACGGUAAAUAAUCGGCGAGGAUGACGGUACCACUAGAGGAAGCACCGGCUAACUCUGUGCCAGCAGCCGCGGUAAUACAGAGGGUGCAAGCGUUGUUCGGAAUCACUGGGCGUAAAGCGCGUGUAGGCGGCCGAUUGUGUCGAGUGUGAAAGCCCUCGGCUUAACCGAGGAAGUGCGCUCGAAACUGGUUGGCUUGAGUACCGGAGAGGAAGGUGGAAUUCCCGGUGUAGAGGUGAAAUUCGUAGAUAUCGGGAGGAACACCAGUGGCGAAAGCGACCUUCUGGACGGAUACUGACGCUGAGACGCGAAAGCGUGGGGAGCAAACAGGAUUAGAUACCCUAGUAGUCC
rnacentral:rRNA from 1 species